UCCUUGAUCAAGAUGGGCCAUAACCAAGAGUGGUCCAAAGGUCUAUCGUGCGCGAUCCAACGGGCCGAUCGAUGUGCCCAUGCAAUCCAACGGUCCAAACGCUCCAAACAAGCAACCCAGGCACAUCUACCUAGUGUGGGGUCUUCAAUGAUGGCUACGAAUGCGACUUGGGUCUCGUGGGCCCACGUGAUGAUCGUCUAGCCAUAAUUGCUCGAAUAUCCUCAUCACUUUUUUCUUUGAAUUUUGUCAUCUUGUGCUAUCUAUAAACUGAUAUCUUAUUCUUCCAUUGUUCAAUUGAUUCUAACUCGAUCCAAGAAAGUAUCCAUGCAGUGAUUUUUCAUGCUUCCUCCAAUAUUUACUAGAAAAUGCUAUCUAUUGUGAACAUUAUUUUGAAAAAUGUACCCUUUUCAAUUACGUUGAAUAUAAGAUGUCUGCACUUGGCCCCACCUCCCAAGACUGUAGCAAGGCAAAUUGGAAUGGACAUGAUACUUUCUUAGUUAAAGGAUUGAUAGAGCAAACUAAUAUUGGGAAACACAAUGCCUCGGUGUGGAAUAAGGAAGCAUGGAAGUCCAUUAGAGACGCAUUCAAUCUUAGAUUCGGGCGCAUACUAAAGCGAAGUUUUUUAGAAAGGCAAACUUCCCUAUUUACAAUCAGCUAGACAUAUUAAUACAGGGUGUUGAGCCAAAAGUUACUAUCUCACUGGAAAGCUUUGAUCAAGUGCAGGUGUGGUUUUGUUAAUUCUUUAACUCUGCUUGAAAGCAACUGAUCUUAUCUCUCUUCAUGAAUUCAAACAACGGAAUCUUUUUGUUUCCUUCAUGUUUUCCUUUAAUCUACGAACUUUGCCAUUUUGCAUUCAGAAUGCUUCUGAUUUUGAACUUCCAGAUUUGUUACAGAUGCAUCAGGCAAUGUGAUACCUGGAGUCUGUGGUGUUCAUAAUCGAUGGCAGGUUAGGUUCUCAUUGAUAAACAUUAUAUUGUAAAGUGGCAUUCAUGAACAAAUGCACAAUGAUUGGCAUUCUAAAUUGAUCAACUCGAACAAAUUUCUGCGCUGAUCCAUAAAGAUGGGAAACAAAUUACGUAGUACCAGUUUUGAGCUCCUGGUAAAUUCCAAUCAGUUUGAAGGAUCCCAAAUAAAUUCAGGUUCUAGAGUACCAUAGCAUUUUACCCACCACAAAUUGAAAUCACUUGUUUUGAAAUAUCUUAUCCAUUACUCAGUUUGCAGCAUGCACGAGAUGGGCAGUUUGUAACUGUUUCAAUCUGAUAUGUUCAGUUAGUCUACAAUUCAAUACUGGCAGAAUUUGCUGGCCAUUGAUUGGUGAGGAGACAGUUCCAACUGAACUGACAGUUCUGCAUUUUGACACUUCACAGAGGGAGGGAGAGGGUUAAGGAUUUCUUCAAACAUGUUCAAGUCGCCACUGUUUGUCUUACUACUUUUCACCAUGCCAUUUGAUUCAUCAGCUGGUUAAGGAUCUCUUCAAACAAGUUCAAGUCACUACCGUUUGUCUUACUACUUUUCACCGUGCCAUUUGAUUCAUCAGUUGGUUAAGGUUCUCUUAAAGUUCAAGUGGCCACUGUUUUUUCUUACUACUUUUCACCAUGCCAUUUGAUUCAUCAGCUUGUUUUGAAAGGUUUUUGGGGGUCCAUUUGGUAUGGAUCUGUUCAAAUAAGCUUUGUUUUGUCUUACUUAAUGGCUUGUUACUGCUUUUCACCAUGCCAUUUGGUUCAUCACAGUUUUUAGUGUUUUCAGAAUGCCCUGGGAAAGGAAUUAUGGUAUUUGGCGCUAUCAUCCACAUUUGUAUAAUCAAAUGCUUAUAAAAAACAACAGCACUAACACAGAGGAGUCUGUUUUUUUGCUGCU